UGAAAAAACGAUUUAUUCCAUAAUAAAAUAAAUACCACAAGUCCCAGAAAAUGCCUUAAAAUAAAGAAGUGUCAAUAAACAGUGAGCAUACUUCGAGCAUAAUUCAUGUCAAUACAUAAAAACGGAAUGACUACAUAACAACACGGUAUAUAAGUUACCGCACAUGCGCGUUUAUCGCCGCGCUACUUCUUUGCCAACGGCCUGAUAUAAUUAGUGGCAUUUUCAACCAAAAGGGUCCUUAUCGGUUGUCAAAAAGGCGCUAUUUCCACAUAGCUUCAAUAUAAUUUGAAAUCAACCUUAUCGACAACCGACAAUGUGGUACCUCUUGGUUGAAAAAGUCAAAUAGUAGACCAAUAAUUAAACAUUCAAACUUUAUCCAUUGGUUAUUACAGGUUUUAUGCGUCGUAUGGCAGAAAUUAUACUCUGUAUCUUUUGGUAUUUAAAUAAAAGUAAACAAAAUCUACCCUCAAAUGGCUCCUUAAGCCAGUUGAGGGUAGAUGAAAACAUUACAUGAUCAAAUAAUGUAGGUUAAAGUCUGGUCGUUCAGUGACUGAUCCAGGCGGUUUUGUAUUUGGUUGGUACAAAUUGUUUGUUUACUUUUAUUUAAAUACCUAAAGAUACAGACGUAAGUAUUCUGGUAUUAUUUGAGUAGAAAUCGUUAUAUGCAUUUUUUGUACAAGGCGUCAUACUGUCAACAAUCUAAAUCUACUUUUAAAUAUACAUAUUUAUACACAAGAAUACAUUGAGCCAUACAAUUAUACAAUGCCGGAUUACGAUUAUAUGUCACUCUACCCAAAAUAUAUAAUAAUAACCCCUCGCCUGUGUAUGACUACAUUGACUACAGUUUCCUUAGAGGACAUAACCAAACGGAGUAGCCAUACCAUUAACCGGCGCUCCGCUCUGUCGAUGAUAGGCGGCCAAUGGUCAUACACAAUGUUCGACUGAGUAUGGUAAACAGUGUCAUAACAGGUCAUGGACUUUUCAACAAACAUCUUUUUAUAACCAAGUGUCACAGACAGUCCCCUAUGCCGUGGAUGCAUGGAGAAGGAAGAAACAGCCUCUCACGUGGUGUUGGAAUGCAGCGGAUUGGCCCCAUACAGGGCAAAACAUCUCGGAUCUCCGAGAGACCUCCCCGAGGUCCUACUCAACAUCAAAGAUUUGAUAGGAUUCCUCGAGGAGCUGGGCUGGCAGGACUAGCCCACCCCC